CGGCGUGGAUUAGGCAUGCAAGUCGAACGGGAUCCGGAGCUAUAGCAAUAUAAUUCCGGUGAUAGUGGCGAAAGGGUGAGUAACGCGUGGGUAAGCUACCUCGAAGUUGGGGACAACCAGAUGAAAAUCUGGCUAAUACCGGAUGUGGUCUUCUGGCGCAUGUCAGAAUGACUAAAGGCGGGGAUCCUUUGGACCUGUCGCUUUGAGAGGCGCCCGCGUGCCAUCAGCUAGUUGGUAGGGUAACGGCCUACCAAGGCUUACGGCUAGCCGGCCUGAGAGGGUGACCGGCCACACUGGGACUGAGACACUGCCCAGACUCCUACGGGAGGCUGCAGUCGAGGAUCAUUCGCAAUGCGCGAAAGCGUGACGAUGCGACGCUGCGUGGAGGAUGAAGGCCUUCGGGUUGUAAACUCCUGUCAUGAGGGAAAAGCCGUCCCGCCCCUAACACGGGCGGGGCCCGAUGGUACCUCAAGAGGAAGCCACGGCUAACUCUGUGCCAGCAGCCGCGGUAAUACAGAGGUGGCGAGCGUUGUUCGGAUUUACUGGGCGUAAAGGGUGCGUAGGUGGUUUCGUACGUCGGAUGUGAAAGCCCAUGGCUCAACCGUGGAAUUGCAUUUGAAACUGCGAAACUAGAGUGCAGGAUGGGGGGAGCGGAAUUCUUGGUGUAGCGGUGAAAUGCGUUGAUAUCAA
rnacentral:rRNA from 1 species